CCUCCUUCUAGAGGUGUUGCAGGUGUGUGGCUUCUAUGUCAUAUAUGUGUCAGUAGGAGGUAGAGAAGAGAGAGGCUGUGUUUAAGCUCAGUGUUCUGACUUGUGAACAUCUGAAUGAUUAGUAACCUAACACU